rnacentral:lncRNA from 1 species
GUACGUGACUGGAGGUGUAUCGUUGUCCUCGUCUGAAUCACGCUGAUGUGGCCCCAACCCCACCUCCCUCCCCACCCCAUGAUGUCAGAAAAAACCAGACAGAACAAAUUGGCCGAGGCCAAGAAAAAGUUCACAGACUAUCGUCAGUGGAACAUUGCUGGUGUUGGUACCAGAGCAACUGACACCAAAAAGAAGAAAAUAAAUAAUGGCACUAACCCUGAGACAACCACUUCUGGUGGUUGCCACUCACCU